UGGGGAAUAUUGCACAAUGGGCGCAAGCCUGAUGCAGCCAUGCCGCGUGUAUGAAGAAGGCCUUCGGGUUGUAAAGUACUUUCAGCGGGGAGGAAGGGAGUAAAGUUAAUACCUUUGCUCAUUGACGUUACCCGCAGAAGAAGCACCGGCUAACUCCGUGCCAGCAGCCGCGGUAAUACGGAGGGUGCAAGCGUUAAUCGGAAUUACUGGGCGUAAAGCGCACGCAGGCGGUUUGUUAAGUCAGAUGUGAAAUCCCCGGGCUGAACCUGGGAACUGCAUCUGAUACUGGCAAGCUUGAGUGUCGUAGAGGGGGGUAGAAUUCCAGGUGUAGCGGUGAAAUGCGUAGAGAUCUGGUGGAAUACCGGUGGCGAAGGCGGCCCCCUGGACGAAGACUGACGCUCAGGUGCGAAAGCGUGGGGAGCAAACAGG
rnacentral:rRNA from 1 species